rnacentral:rRNA from 1 species
AUUGAACGCUGGCGGCAGGCCUAACGCAUGCAAGUCGAGCGGAUGACGGGAGCUUGCUCCUUGAUUCAGCGGCGGACGGGUGAGUAAUGCCUAGGAAUCUGCCUGGUAGUGGGGGACAACGUUUCGAAAGGAACGCUAAUACCGCAUACGUCCUACGGGAGAAAGCAGGGGACCUUCGGGCCUUGCGCUAUCAGAUGAGCCUAGGUCGGAUUAGCUAGUAGGUGAGGUAAUGGCUCACCUAGGCGACGAUCCGUAACUGGUCUGAGAGGAUGAUCAGUCACACUGGACCUGAGACACGGUCCAGACUCCUACGGGAGGCAGCAGUGGGGAAUAUUGGACAAUGGGCGAAAGCCUGAUCCAGCCAUGCCGCGUGUGUGAAGAAGGUCUUCGGAUUGUAAAGCACUUUAAGUUGGGAGGAAGGGCAGUAAGUUAAUACCUUGCUGUUUUGACGUUACCGACAGAAUAAGCACCGGCUAACUCUGUGCCAGCCGCCGCGGUAACAC